rnacentral:rRNA from 1 species
AUUGAACGCUGGCGGCAGGCCUAACACAUGCAAGUCGAGCGGUUGAAGGCAGCUUGCUCCUGGAUUCAGCGGCGGACGGGUGUGAAAUGCCUAGGAAUCUGCCUGGUAGUGGGGGAUAACGUCCGGAGACGGGCGCUACUACCGCAUACGUCCUGAGGGAGUUCGUGGGGGGGCUUCGGACAUGACGCUUUCAGAUGAGCCUAGGUCGGAUUGGCUAGUUGGUGGGGUAGAGGCCUACCAAGGCGACGAUCCGUAACUGGUCUGAGAGGAUGAUCAGUCACACUGGAACUGAGACACGGUCCAGACUCCUACGGGAGGCAGCGGGGGAGAAGAUUGGACAAUGGGAGAAAGGCUGAACCAGCCAUGCCGCGUGGGUGAAGAAGGUCUUCGGAUUGUAAAGUACUUUAAGUUGGGAGGAAGGGCAGUAAGUUAAUAACUUGCUGUUUUGACGUUAGCAGCAGAAGAAGCACCGGCUAACUUCGUG